CCUACGGGAGGCAGCAGUGAGGAAUAUUGGUCAAUGGACGAGAGUCUGAACCAGCCAAGUAGCGUGAAGGAUGACUGCCCUAUGGGUUGUAAACUUCUUUUAUAUGGGAAUAAAAUGUUCCACGUGUGGGAUUUUGUAUGUACCAUAUGAAUAAGGAUCGGCUAACUCCGUGCCAGCAGCCGCGGUAAUACGGAGGAUCCGAGCGUUAUCCGGAUUUAUUGGGUUUAAAGGGAGCGUAGGUGGAUGGUUAAGUCAGUUGUGAAAGUUUGCGGCUCAACCGUAAAAUUGCAGUUGAAACUGUCAGUCUUGAGUACAGUAGAGGUGGGCGGAAUUCGUGGUGUAGCGGUGAAAUGCUUAGAUAUCACGAAGAACUCCGAUUGCGAAGGCAGUUCACUGGACUGCAACUGACACUGAGGCUCGAAAGUGUGGGUAUCAAACAGGAUUAGAUACCCCGGUAGUC
rnacentral:rRNA from 1 species